GACCACUCCUUCGGAGUUAAGGCCACGGACAGCCGGGUCCACUGCCGA
rnacentral:sRNA from 1 species